ensembl:snRNA Gm55391 U6 spliceosomal RNA
CAUCACUUGGUUCAGUGGUGAGCAUACUAAAUUGAAACAAUACACAGAAGAUCAGCAUGGCUUUUUGUUAAGAAAACAAGAAAGUUCAUGACAUAUUCCAGAUUUUA